rnacentral:rRNA from 1 species
GUGGGGAAUUUUGGACAAUGGGCGCAAGCCUGAUCCAGCAAUGCCGCGUGCAGGAAGAAGGCCUUCGGGUUGUAAACUGCUUUUGUACGGAACGAAACGGUCCGGGUUAAUACCCUGGGCUAAUGACGGUACCGUAAGAAUAAGCACCGGCUAACUACGUGCCAGCAGCCGCGGUAAUACGUAGGGUGCAAGCGUUAAUCGGAAUUACUGGGCGUAAAGCGUGCGCAGGCGGUUUUGUAAGACAGGCGUGAAAUCCCCGGGCUCAACCUGGGAAUUGCGCUUGUGACUGCAAGGCUGGAGUGCGGCAGAGGGGGAUGGAAUUCCGCGUGUAGCAGUGAAAUGCGUAGAUAUGCGGAGGAACACCGAUGGCGAAGGCAAUCCCCUGGGCCUGUACUGACGCUCAUGCACGAAAGCGUGGGGAGCAAACAGGAUUAGAAACCCUUGUAGUCC